ACCUAUAAAAUGUGGAUAAUAAUUUCUACCCAGCCUGCCUUAGAAGUUUCUUGUGAAUGUAGGGACCAGAGAGCUCUCCUGAUUCUCAUGAAGGAGGCUCUGCCCAUCUCCCCAUGCUAUUCCUCUCUGCAUGCUUCCUACUGGCCAUUAGGCCAGAUGUGUUGACCCUACAGAGCUUCUUAGUGAGUUGCAGUGUGUAAAGUUUGGGGAAGUGUCAUCCAUGU
rnacentral:lncRNA from 1 species